CGACGUGAGAGAUAUCUGGCUGCGACAUCUGUCACCCCAUUGACUGCCCGGGUUGAUUUGGCUGAUCUGGCUUACUAGGCAAGUGUACCCUUCCUCCCUCACUGCUCCAUGUACAUCCCUCCUGAAGGUGCACAUUUGGUUGAAAGUGAGAGGUGACAAUGUGCUAGCU
rnacentral:snRNA from 1 species